UGUGUGUGUGUGUGUGUGUGUUUGUAUAUGUAAAGCGGUUGUAUACAUGUAUGCAUGGAAUUAUAUAUAUAUAUAUUUUUUUUUAUUAUAAUUUUUUUUUUUUAUCUGCUCUCCCAGUUGCCUAUGACAAAUUUCUCCUAGGGGAGACAAUAAAUGAGAACUAACUAACUACUAAAGACAAGUUAAAAAUACUUUAUCUUCUUCACUACAGGCACAGUCAAUCAGAGAAAGAAAUGGUUUCUCAGAAAAUAUAAUGAACAACACAUUCCUGGACCAGGAGUACCAAGAUUUAAACUAUAAUGCAGAAGAAUACUUUGAGAACAUCCUAAAGAACUUGGAGUUUGGCCAGAGGAAACGCCUAAAAAAACUGAGAGUCAAAGUGAACAAAGAAGAGUGGAUCACAGGGGCUGCUGUGGUCAAUGCAUUCUACUCAUCUAGCAGAAACCAAAUAGGUAUUUGAAUGCAUUUACAUAAUGUAGCAGUUCUACAUUAAAAAAACACAAAUCUGCUUUUUCUGAUCAAGUAAGAAUUAAUUUGAGUGACCUGCUUCCUCUUAGUAUUCCCUGCAGGUAUUCUUCAGCCACCAUUCUUUGAUAAAGGUCAGCCCUGGUCUCUGAACUAUGGUGGUAUUGGGAUGUUCAUCGGGCAUGAGAUCACUCAUGGCUUUGAUGACAAUGGUCUAGAAACAUUGGAUGACACACUAGAAACAGAUCUCCCUCCCUUGCAUAUUUUGUCACGUAAAAGUGUUGUAAGGGUUAAUUUUCCUACAUUUCUUACAUUUCUUUACAGGACAUAUUUUUGAUAAAGAUUGUGACCUUAAAGACUAGUGGACUCUAUCUUCAACUCAGAAAUUCCAUGAGCUUUCCAAAUGCAUUGUGGACCAGUAUGGAAUCUACUCUUGGGAUUUGGCAAAUGAACAAAAUCUAAAUGGGCAUAAUACCCUUGGGGAGAAUAUUGCUGACAACGGGGGUAUUCGCCAGUCUUAUCCAUUAAAGAGAGGGCAUCUAAGUCUUCCCUGCAACUUUUUGGACAUCCCUCUUUACAGCCAAAAUUUCUACCAUUUUGAAAUAUGAAUCUAAUUCAAGACUGUGCAGUCAAAAAGAGUUAGUUUGAAGGCCUACCAGAACUAUGUGAAAAAUCAUGGGAAAGAAACUCCUCUGCCUGGAAUUGACCUCAAUCAUGAGCAUCUUUUUCCUUAACUUUGCACAGCAGACAUACCGCUGAUCCAUGGGUCCAAAAAGUUCCAGUUUGUUGACAUCACUCGUCCAG